AUUGAACGCUGGCGGCAUGCCUUACACAUGCAAGUCGAACGGUAACGCGGGGCGACCUGGCGACGAGUGGCGAACGGGUGAGUAAUGUAUCGGAACGUGCCCAGUUGUGGGGGAUAACUGCUCGAAAGAGCAGCUAAUACCGCAUACGACCUGAGGGUGAAAGCGGGGGAUCGCAAGACCUCGCGCAAUUGGAGCGGCCGAUAUCAGAUUAGGUAGUUGGUGGGGUAAAGGCCCACCAAGCCAACGAUCUGUAGCUGGUCUGAGAGGACGACCAGCCACACUGGGAAUGAGACACAGCACAGACUCCUGCGGGAGGCAGCAGUGGGGAAUUUUGGACAAGGGACGCAAGUCUGAUCCAGCCAUGCCGCGUGCGGGAAGAAGGCCUUCGGGUUGUAAACCGCUUUUGUCAGGGAAGAAAAGGGCGACUCUAAUACAGUUGCCUCAUGACGGUACCUGAAGAAUAAGCACCGGCUAACUACGUGCCAGCCGCCGCCGUAACAC
rnacentral:rRNA from 1 species